rnacentral:rRNA from 1 species
AUUGAACGCUGGCGGCAGGCCUAACACAUGCAAGUCGAGCGAGCGGCGGACGGGUGAGUAAUGUAUGGGGACUGCCCGCUAGAGGGGGAUAACUACUGGAAACGGUGGCUAAUACCGCAUACUAUCGGAUAACCCAUAUGGGAUUAGCUAGUAGGUGGGGUAAAGGCUCACCUAGGCGACGAUCACUAGCUGGUCUGAGAGGGUGAUCAUCCAAACUGGGACUGAGACACUGCCCAGACUCCUUCGGAGGCAGAAGUGGGGAAUAUUGCACAUUGGGCGCAAACCUGAUGCAGCAAUCCGGGGUAUAUGAAGAAGGCCUUAGGGUUGUAAAGUACGUUCAGCGGGAAGGCGUUACCCACAGAAGAAGCAACGGCUAACUCCGUGCCAGCAGCCGCGGUAAUAC